UCCUAACAAAGCGCUAAGGAAUCUUAAGGAUAAAAAUCUCUGAUCGGCGAGAGCUUUAAAAUCUCACGGACAAAAGACGGAGGAAAGCACGUGCUGAAGAAUCUUCUCACAAAAAGCAACAUUCCAUUCCACGGGGAAGAGUUCAGGCUCCAACAUGUUUCACUCACUUACUUCUAUUUCCUCUCUGAUCCGGGAUUUGAAAUACUUUUGUUCACGCUUUUACCUUUCAACGCUCAGAAUUGGUGGUUCUGCGAUCGGCCCCGAAGAAAUUCGGCGAGGCUUUUUUCCCGAGAAUUAUAGCCAGACUUGCGCAAUCCUAAAAGA